UCGAGAAUUUUUCACAAUGGGGGCAACCCUGAUGGAGCGACGCCGCGUGGAGGAUGAAGGCCUUCGGGUUGUAAACUCCUGUCAUGCGGGAACAAGCAAGUGAUAGUACCGCAAGAGGAAGGGACGGCUAACUCUGUGCCAGCAGCCGCGGUAAUACAGAGGUCUCAAGCGUUGUUCGGAUUCAUUGGGCGUAAAGGGUGCGUAGGUGGUGACGCAAGUCUGGUGUGAAAUCUCGGAGCUCAACUCCGAAAUUGCACCGGAUACUGCGUGACUCGAGGACUGUAGAGGAGAUCGGAAUUCACGGUGUAGCAGUGAAAUGCGUAGAUAUCGUGAGGAAGACCAGUUGCGAAGGCGGAUCUCUGGGCAGUUCCUGGACACUGAGGCACGAAGGCCAGGGGAGCAAACGGGAUUAGAUACCCCCGGUAGUCCUGGCAGUAAACGGUGCACGUUUGGUGUGGGCGGGUUCAGACCCCGUCCGUGCCGGAGCUAAC
rnacentral:rRNA from 1 species